AACGUAGGUCACAAGCGUUGUCCGGAAUUACUGGGUGUAAAGGGAGCGCAGGCGGGAAGAUAAGUUGGAAGUGAAAUCUAUGGGCUCAACCCAUAAACUGCUUUCAAAACUGUUUUUCUUGAGUAGUGCAGAGGUAGGCGGAAUUCCCGGUGUAGCGGUGGAAUGCGUAGAUAUCGGGAGGAACACCAGUGGCGAAGGCGGCCUACUGGGCACCAACUGACGCUGAGGCUCGAAAGUGUGGGUAGCAAACAGG
rnacentral:rRNA from 1 species